UUGAACGCUGGCGGCAGGCCUAACCCCUGCAAGUCGCGCGGAUGAAGGGAGCUUGCUCCUGGAUUCAGCGGCGGACGGGUGAGUAAUGCCUAGGAAUCUGCCUGGUAGUGGGGGAUAACGUCCGGAAACGGGCGCUAAUACCGCAUACGUCCUGAGGGAGAAAGUGGGGGAUCUUCGGACCUCACGCUAUCAGAUGAGCCUAGGUCGGAUUAGCUAGUUGGUGGGGUAAAGGCCUACCAAGGCGACGAUCCGUAACUGGUCUGAGAGGAUGAUCAGUCACACUGGAACGGAGACACGGUCCAGACUCCUACGGGAGGCAGCAGUGGGGAAUAUUGGACAAUGGGCGAAAGCCUGAUCCAGCCAUGCCGCGUGUGUGAAGAAGGUCUUCGGAUUGUAAAGCACUUUAAGUUGGGAGGAAGGGCAGUAAGUUAAUACCUUGCUGUUUUGACGUUACCAACAGAAUAAGCACCGGCUAACUUCGUG
rnacentral:rRNA from 1 species